GAAAGGAACAAUGAAAUACAACGAAUUCGAUCGACAUUUAUAACAAAUAAAUUAUUAUUAAUAAUGCAAUUUAUCGUUGAUGAAUUUAUUAAGCAAGAAAAGAGGAAACUUUUUUUUUUUAGGUUAUGUAAGAGCCAAUCUUGUAUUCACCAGCCUCCUUCCUUAACUAUAUUGGUUAAAUUCUUUCUCCAAUUAUUUUUUACGACUGGAACAAAACCAGUUGUUAAAAAAAAAAUGUUACGUUGAAUUAUCACAAUGUAUUAAUGUAUUCGUGGAAAUAUAUGGAAUUAAAAAAAAAAAAUUGAAAUUUUGCAUAUUGUGCCGUUAUUGCACCUGAACGACGAUAUGUGAAUAUAAAUACAUAUACAUAUAAGGUAUUGAAACAACACGUUGGACCAAUUCUAGAAUAUGAUAAAAAAUUUGAUAUCCAAAAAUGUCAAUUGGAGUUUAUUUUUUCGUGUCAUAACCAAUUCAAUUUAUACAUUAUAUUAUAUAUAUUUCAUGUAUAUGUAACUUUGUGUUAUUCUUUCAAAAAAUUUAUAAAUCGAUUCAUGUACAAAUUAUUAAUUGUAAUUUUGUAACCAGAGUUUGGGUAUUAACAUUAUUAUAGUUAAAAAUUUCGAAUAAAAAAAUUUGGCAUUAUCGAGAUAAAUUGUGGAGGCAACUUAUCGAAACAACUUUAUUCGUAACUUCAACUAUUAAAUUUUGCACAUCAUUGACUUUAUAACCUUUAAAAAGCAUCCUGUCUCUCUUGAAAUGGAAAUAUAAGCAAGAUGGAAAACAUUUAACAGCUUUGCGUUAUGGUUUCACAUUUCACACUUUCCAAUGUAUGCAAACUAUUACAUGGAUGACAAUGUGAUUACGUUUGGAAAUUAUGCGAAUUGUUGGCAUAAGCAUUCCUUUUUAAACGUUUUACGAGGUGGAAUCUAUAUAGAAUGGCUCACGAAAUUAUUCGAAUAUUUUUAUUUAUUUCUUUAUAAUAAAACGAUUAAUUUUUUUAUUUUUAAUAAAAUUCAAUACUCAAAAUUUCAGCAAUUUAAACAUAACUUGAAUGAUACAAGAUAGAGCAAAAUUUUAAAUUACAAAAUAUUCAAAAUUGUUCUAUUCUGUUGUUUGGAAAAAUUUUUCAAAUAAAAUUGUAUUCAAAAUAAGAAAAGAUAAUAAUGUAUAAAUUUUCAUUAAAGUCAGAAUUUUUUAAUUAUUUUAUAACAAUUUUCUUCUGUUCUAUUUUUUUUAUCAAAUUUUGUGAAAUUUUUAUUCUGAAAUUGUUUUCAUUUCUUUCUUAUUUCAGAUUAGAAAUCUUAUAUAGAUUCCAUCAUUUCUACAUUGAUUAAGUUACUUUUUUCAUUAAUUGAUCAAAAAACAUAAAUUGAACGAGAAAUUUCAUUCCUGAAAUAUUUAAUGAUCAUUUCGAGAAAAAUAGGAACAGAAGCAAUGAUUGGCCUUUUUUAAUUUAUUCGUGGAAUUUUUAUGCUACCUAUAUAUAUAUAUAUAUAUUUUCCUAAAUAUUUCAUUUAUAAACAGUUAAUUGAUAUAUCAUUGAAUAAUUUAUGACCUAUUUUAUUUGUAUAUUUCAGAAAUAAUUUUUUAUCAAAAUUUUAUAUGACGAAAUAAAUCUGAAAAGUAGGAAAUAAAUUGUAGAGAAGAAUGAAUUAUUCUUAAUAAGACCAAAAAUUGAUCACUAAAAAAAAACCACAUUGUAAUACUCAAAAGUUUAUAAUAUUAAAAAAUUAUAAUAUUAAAAAAAAAUAAUUUCAAUGAUUAAUAAAAUCUAUGUUUAAAAUUGAGCAAUUUAGUUUUAAAGAAGAAUAUUUUGAAGAAAUGAUUGUUAUCGAUUCUAAUUCCGAAAUACAAUUAUUUCCUCCUUACGUAAUCAAUUCGUACUUCCUUUGCCAGAUUUAAUGUAAAAAUUACGUAAAACAGAAUUCUUCAUAAUUAAUCAUUCCGGAUAUUGAGUUUCAAAUCAAUAUACUCUAUUUACUUCCUACUUUCUCUGUAUCGGAUAUUUCCACGUAUUAAACGUGAUUAAUACGCUUGCAUAAGAAUCAAAAUUCGCGCGCAAAACAGCCGCCAUGUUGCCUUGUCCUUACCUCAUUGCCAAUAGCAUAAAAUGUUCGCGUGCCCUCGCGUGAUCAUCUUUUGCUCGUACAUACUUACUCGUGGAUAGAGAUAAAAAAAAGAAAAAAAAAAAAAAAAUAGCUGACGUGAAGAAAGCGUAGCGGAUGUAUCAUUCGAGGAAUAAUACGUCGCAUGAUCGAUUGAAACAGUGGUUCUCAACCUGCGAAGGAGUUUAAUAUUUUGAUAAUUUUUAUAAUUUUUUCGGGGAUUAAGGAAUAUUUAAGGAAUAUUGGUUUUGUAAGUGUAGAUGCCUUUAAAUAUUAAAUUCUGUCUUUUCUUUUUUGAUAAAAAAAAAUAUACAGGCUGUCUGUUUUAUAAUAUAAUGAAAUAUGUUUGAAAAAAUGAAUACUAUGAAAAGAAUGUUGCAGUGUGUUAAUAGUUUUAAGAAUGUAAUUAUUUUUUUUUUUAACAAAUGGAUUAUAUACGUUAUUAUAUUUGCUGAAUUAUCGAAUGAAUUAUUAAUUAUUUGAGUUAAUUGAGUUAUUUAUAUGUGCAAAUUCCUUUUUUUAGAAGAAUAUAGGAAUAAAUAACAAAAAGUAUGAAUUUGAGUUUGAAAUAUAUACGAACGAAUAGGUUAAUUCGUUUAAUUUUAAGUUAAAAGAGUUAAAAGGCAGCAAAAAAAGCCGUUCGAUUCAAGAAAUCUUGUUUGUUUCGUUAUGAUGCAAAAUGGACGGGUAAAGGGGUCAAAUAGAGAUCACGAUUACUAUGCAUCGUUCGAUUGAAUAAUAUCCUUUGAAUAAAAGAAUGAAUACCUGUUAACGUUGAUAUAUCUCGAGGAUAUAAAUCUUAGGAGACAAAUGUUUACGACAGAGACUGGAAAAAUCAAGGAGGAAAAUCUCAGGAAAAUUUUACACGAAAUUUUAAUUUUAAUUUUUUUAAUAUGUACAAAGUGUUCGGUUAUUUAUUAUGCUUAAUUUAGCGUUUUAAAAACUGUAAAAUUAAAAAUUUUACCAAUUUUUAUCGGAUAAAUGUAUAAAUUUAUUACUUACAGAUCUUUAAAGCACUUUUUUAUUAUUCUUUGUUAUAAUUUUUAAAAAAAUUUUAUACAUAACGAAAUUGACACAUUUAUAUGUUCAUCUACGAAAAAAUUGAAACACUAAUUUAUCCUUCAUUCUACAUCAUUUCUUCAUACAAUAAAUAAUUUAUGAGUUAUUCGAAUGAUCACAUUGCAUAUAUUUUGUAUAUCUGUAAAAAAGCAUAUAUAUAUUCAUUUUCUUUUUUGACGUUUUGUAAAUAUGUAUAUAAAAAUUCUUUAAUUCAUCCAUUCGUAAUGAAAUCUAUUUUACACGCAUUCUAUAUUUUAGUUUUAGAUUUCUGUAUUUCCAUUGCUAUCUGCAAACGCAUUCUUUAAUUUUUCAUUUCCAAGAAAUGAAAAUUUAAGUUCCACUUCCAAGAAUCCAAUAAUUAUUGUUACACGAAUAACAUUGCAAACAGCAUCAUGUAAUAUAAAACAUUUAGUUCGAUCCUGUUUGUCCAAGAAAAAAGAUCGAUAAUCGAUAAUAAAAUACGAUGAUGAUACACUUUAAACUUUUAAAUGUGAUCCCUGUCUUCGAUCUCCCAAAUAUUUCCCACUAAGAGAGGCACUGCAACAGAAUAAAAUCUUUUAAAUAAUUUGAUUUGAUCCGAGCGAAGCUUUACGUUCAACGUCUCAUUUAAAUCAAGUAUCCGAUCUUUCCUCCGCAUUCACUUUCCAAAGCGCGUUGCCGCAAUACGGUUUUCCAACCGUGUUCGAUCGUGUAGCAUGCGCGAAAGGAAGUUGCGAAACAUCAACGAAGAUGAAUCGUCGUGAAAUAGUUGAAGUGAGAUCUAAAUUCUUGGAAAAAAAAAAAAAAAUGUUUCACUGCUUCACGUGGGUUUUCGCAAAGAUUUUAUUUUCGAAAUUAAAUCAUUAGUAAGAAAAAUCGCGAGGGAAAGCCGAUUUCCAUCUCGCGUUCUUUUGACUUGGCAACCGCAAAUUUUCGAACCGUAACUCGAACGAUUCCUUUGGAACGAGAGAGAUAUUAGGGUUAAAAAACAUUGAGUUGAAGGUUUUCAUCUGUCAUCGAAGGAAACGAGGCUCGAAUAAUCCAAAAAUUUUGUGCAUGUUGUAAAAAUUGUAUCGAGAAAAAUCGAAGUAGAAAUUAAAGAAAUGAAAGAAUUCUGCAAUAUUUUGCAAAUUUAAAGUUUUACUUCAUCUUUAGAAUCACGUUCGAAAAAGCAUCGAAAUUUUAAUUUAAAUCAUAUGAUCUGAAAACAAUCAAGUGAAUUUGAGAUUAGAGAAAAUAAUAAGAAAAUUAUGUUUAAAACUCGUGUUCUUCUUUUUUUAAUAAUCUUCACGAUAUAUUAUAAGGAUAAAAAUUUUUUCCUUAAGAAAUUAAAUUUCACACAAAUGAAAUAUUUUUUUUUCACAACAAAACAACGAAUGUUUUUAUUUGUACAUUUUCAUUGUGACGAACGUUCAAAAAUUUAAUUAUUCAAUUUUCUUGCAUUCUAAUAAUCACAAUCGCAUUGCUAGCUGCAACAGAUCGAAAUGUGUGUCGCAUCUUUCUGUGUCGAAUAUCAAAUGUCGAAAACGAACGCGGCAAUCGCCAUACUUUUUUUAGCUUCGAAUCUGUUUCCACGAGACCACGUGUCUCUGGAAAACUCGCGUAUUAACAGCGCGUACAUCGACUACAGAAUUGGUUAGGUUAGGUGGUUAACAGAUAUGGUUGAUUUGUUGCAACGCUCGUAUUAAACGAUCGGGAAAGCGAAUAUUGGAUAGAAAUUGACCACUUUCUUCGAGCAUUCGAAUGAUAACACGAUAUGCAGGAUGGUUUAAAAGAAACUAGAUAUAAAAUUGAUUUGUUUUUUUUAUUUUUCUUGGAAUUUUAUUGGGUGAACAAAAAAUCAAAUAUUAAUAAUUAUAAUCCUCCAUAACCUAUAAUUACAUCACUUUAAACAUUUUUGAAGGAGUUGAUUCUGGAGCACAAAAAAAGUUGUCUUGGCUUGUUUAUUAAGCAAUUUAAGUUUUCAUUAGAUAAAAUUUUUUAGUGUGAUAAAUUACUAUCUUCAUAUUAUAACGUUAUGAUGCAAAUAUUACACGAUAAAAUAUAACAAUAAAAUCACUGAUAAAUACAAAUAUAUUAUAUGAUUUUAACUAACUUGGCAUAUAUUUCUUUUUAAACGGAAAACACGUUUUGCGGUUAAAGGAACGCUAGCACAAUUGAAACGAGAAUUGAUUGUUCGAUUCGAAAUGUCAUUCACCUUAUUUAUGUUUAAAACGUAAAAGAUAAAGAGGGAUUAGUGGGAAAAAUCGAAUAAAUCCACCGUGUCUCUCUGCUAUAUCCUUCUAAUGGAAAAGAUAAAUUUGGUACAAAGUGCGCGAUGUUGGCAAUUUCAAACAGAGAAAUCAAGUUGCGUAAAAUGGCAAAGCGGUUUUUGUUUAUACAAGGAGCAAAAGUGAAGAGAAAUUUUUCAUUUAAAUGACAUUUUUAUGUUUAAUAAAACUCGUUGAAUUUUGAAAGAUGGCCUUGUGCCAGCCAAUAUUUGUACAUUCAAAUUAUCUUAUGCAUGUAAAAUAUAAUUAGAUUAUUAAUGAUGUUUCUUGUACAUAAAUGGUUAUUUUAUUAAGAUAAAGUGAUUUUUCUUUUUUUUCUUCUUCGAUGUUAAAUAAACAUUCGAUGUUAAAUAAACAACAUUAACAAAAGAUUUUAGAAAACUAGAAAACUAAAGAAUUUUUCCCUCCUUAGUUCUUAAAUACUUUCAUACACGUUUCUUAAAUGUUGAUACUUCAAUCGAAAGAUAUCUUCCAAAGAAGAAACGGGAGAAAACUUUUUCUUAUCAUUUUAUUAUCAUUGUGAUUAAUUCUGAUUAAUCCAAAAAUAAGAAUAUCUGUAUAAUCUGUAAGAAAUUUAAAUCAAAUUAAAAUUAAUCUGCUUAUCAGAUCGUCACGUUUCUAUUUUUUACGAGUCAUUCAAUUAUUACAUAUUAACACUUACAUACAUACACUGCAAAUUCUAGAGAGAUGCUAGAGAGAAAGAGAAAAAGAAAAAGGGAAAAGAAAGAAAGAAAAAGAAAAAUCGACACGAUUAAGACCGAUCGUUUAUACGAGAGAGGCAAAAUAAACAACCUUUCAUUAUGAGAAGCAACCGAGCAUAUGCCAAGUUUAUGACGCUCGGUCAUUGACUCGAUUCUUUCGAGGAAUUUUCGUUCUAUUGUAUCACACUGAUCAUAUUUUAUCUAUUUUACUUCUCCGUUCUUUACACAAGUAUAUAUUUACACAAAUUUUUAAUAAUAAAUAAAAUAAAUAAAAAGUGCACCGAAAUCUUUAUAUUAAUAUAGAGAUACACAAAAGAAUACACAAAAGAUUACUCUAGUUCGUUAAGCGUGUGAUUAAUUCGCUCAAUAUUGAUAUAGGUUCUUGGAACAUUUUUGAGGGAUCGGUUUUAAAGGAUCGAGAUUAAAAUAAAAGAGAUUGAUAUACAAAAAUUAAGCUUGCGUGAUGGACGAAGAUGAAUGAUUCUUUUUUUUUAAAUAUCUGAAACAGAAGAAAUUAAAAUAUCUCAAUCAAUCAAACCGCUCAAGCUUACAAUUAAUUAACUCACUUUCUCCGAACGCAGUGAUGUAAAAUUUCUCAUGGUCUAAUAAAUUCUUACGCUUAUAAUCAGUGAACUUCAUUAAAACAUUUCCUCCUUAAUUGUUAAACUUUGAUUCAAGUUAUAUAUUUUAUGCACGAGUACAAAAAUCCAAUUAUAAAAACGUUAUACUUCGCAUUAUUCUCAUAAUGCUGGAUACAUUUUUUUUUUUUUUUUUUUUGAGUUUAAAGAAUCCUCCUUCCAAGAAGAAAAUAAAAAUUUUCCUCAUUUUCCAUAGUAAUAAUAGUAAUAAAUUAUCAUUUAUUUUAUCGUUAUUAUUUUGUUCCCACACUGUGUACAUCAUAAAAUAUUCACGUCAUGCAAUCCUUGAUUCUAUAAGACCAGGAUAAUAGAAACGGAUAUAAAUAUAUUGAAAAAGGUGUCGCCAUUCGCCUUUUUAUGGUUAAAUCACAUUCAGACUCGGAAACUGUUCAAGUUUUGCCACUUUGAAAGAGAUGCAGAUCACUUGUGUCUAAAGUGUCCUUGCCUGAACUGUUAUUAUCGCCACAGCAAUUGAUGGAGAGUGAUCUAUUUCAGUUGGUUUCGAGAAGAAAAUGCUUUACUCGUAAUUUUACGAGCAAUAUUUGACAAGUUUGCCCAAUGGAUACGGUUAUGUUAAUGCAGGCUAAUAGGCUAAUAAGAAAGAGUAAAAAGAGGUAUAUUUCAUUUUUGUUCUUAAUUUGUUCGUGGAUAACCAUAUUUGACCUCCUUUUUGUUUUUAUUUAUUUCUCCACCAAUUUGUUUGAAAGCCAUUACUAUAAAAAGAAAAUUGCCUAGAUUGGUAUUAACUUUGCAAAGACUUACUUUUAUAUACAUAUAUAUAUAAAUCGUCAUUUCAUCAAAAUAAUCAUCAAAAUAAAUGAAUUAUAUAUUAUGUACAUACAUCAACUGUAGACUAAAAUUUAGUAUAGUAUAGCCAAUAUAGAAUUAAAAAAAAAAAAAAAAAAAGAA